GGAUUUUCAGCUGAAGUUCCAAAAAGCCAAAGCUGCGACUCUCCAUCUGGGUUUUUGCACUCUAUUUUCUUUUCAUGUCAUUUUUUUAUUAUUUUAUGAACAUUAUUGUCAAAUUCAUCAUGUGUGAGUAGUUUCUUUAUUUUAAAGUUAGGGAUGUAGCACUUUUGAUUCAAUUAUAAAUCUGUUUUGAUUUUAUUUAAUAUACUGGGUAUUUUGUUCUUUGAUUCAAUUUCUUAUGUUCUUAAUGCAUGCUAUAUGUUGAGCUCCGCUUAGUAUUGAUUCUAAAUAUUACUUGAAGGAUUGAAAGAUGAAUAUUAAUAUUGGAAUAACAGGUUUUUGAACUUCAAAUUCUUGAUCUAGAGAUAGACUGGAAUUCUAUAUAGAUCUAACAAUUAGUCAAAGAACUUAAUGGGUUUUAAUUUAUUUAACCGCCACAAAAAUAAGGUUUAAGUUAAUUAAAUACAACUUGAGUGCCUU
rnacentral:misc_RNA from 1 species